ACCAGGAACUUCUUUCAAUGAACUCUGUACGUGAGAAGCAGCUGGUUUCUUGUUGGGUUUUCAAAGUGCUCUGUAUUUAAUCAGCUCGCGUUCACAAUGGCGAUGGUAUACUGAUCAUUGCGUUCUUGUCACGGACCGGAAACUGGAGUGUGAUAUCUGACUACCCCACCCUCUCGAUCGCUCCAAGACCUCUCUCUUAAUGAAGGGUCAAAAAGGACUCUUCAUGUUCAAAAUCCUCCAUCACCAGGACACCGAAAUGAGGUCUUCUUAUCAAGAGCUUCCUCUGAACACUGAACUGGACAGGCUCGGUGAACAGAAGAAGGAUUUGAACUCUUAGCUAUCGUCUGAGUAUACAAGGGGCGGCCAGGCAUGAAGGUUAUCGGGCAGCAGCUCAAACAUGGCCCAUCGCUCGAUCCCCUUCGUCACGUCCACAAGGAUUUUCGUCAUGCUCUCUCCCCCAAGCCCUUCGAAGGACCUGCCUCCUCCGUUGACGCUGAUGUAGUAGUAGACGAU